rnacentral:tRNA from 1 species
GGGCCCGUCGUCUAGCCUGGUUAGGACGUUGCCCUUACAAGGCAAAGGUCCUGGGUUCAAAUCCCAGCGGGCCCA